UCUCCCACUCUAAAUAUCGAAGAAUUUAGAAUAGGAGGGUGACUACCUGUACCUUUUGGGUCAGGUAACACCCCAUCUACACAAGUCAACUAUUUGGUUGAAUUAUUUUACGGGCGUACGUCCAUGAAAUGAUUAAGUUACAUAUAGACUGGCUCGA
rnacentral:circRNA from 1 species